GAAUUUAGCAAAUCAAUAAGCGGAGGAAAAGAAACUAACAAGGAUUCCCCUUAGUAACGGCGAGUGAAACUGGGAUUAGCCCAGCACCGAAUCCCGCAGCCUUGCGCUGUUGGGAACUGUGGUGUUUAGGACUUCUUAUGAGCUUGGUGUUUCACCUAAAGUUCACUUGAUUGUGACUCUAGGCCCAGAGAGGGUGUAAGGCCCGUCUGGGUGAGAUGCCUUGUUUCUGAGUCGUCCUUAGAGUCGGAUUGUUUGAGAUUGCAAUCCAAAGUGGGUGGUAAACUCCAUCUAAGGCUAAAUACUGAACACUAGUCCGAUAGUCAACAAGUACCGUGAGGGAAAAUUGAAAACCN
rnacentral:rRNA from 1 species